CUCAUCAGUUUUUAUGAGAAAAAUCAAUGCUAGGACUGACAACCUAUGGCUUUGUACAAAGAGCAAGUAAUUUGAUGCUAGGUGUCCAAAUUUGAUUGGAGAGAAACUAAGAAAAAAAAAUUAAAUAAGAAUAGUAUGUAGAGUGGUCACGUGGUGUGAAAGGAAGAGAAAGUAAGUCACCAUCUUCAUCUUUCCUCUUUGCCAAACCGAAAACCAAAAGAAACCCAGAAAGGAAUCGGUAGUUCAUCGCAAAGGAGCAGAGCAGUAGCCACGGAGGUACUAGGUAGACGAAGCAAAUUUUAAUUAUCAAGCUUCCCUUCUUAUUGCCCCAGAGUAGUUGGACGAGAGGCAGAAGAAGUUGUGCCGAUUAUUGAUAUAACUAAGAGGAAAGAAAUAUAUAAAGUUGCUGCUGUUUUGUUCCUGGAACCUUGUCGUCUCUUCCUUAUCAGGUAUUUUAUUAUUCAUCCUUCCCUAAAUGGUAUUAACAUGUAGCAUAUUGUUAAAUGAUAUAUACUAAAUCCAAAUUGGGACCUAUAAUUUUCUCUUUAGAGCAAAGGUACUUAUAAUCAAAAUCCAAAUGGGGUAUUUAUUUUGACCAAUUAUCUGCUAGCGAUAUGCUUGAUAGUUGUGAGUGAUUUCCUUAGCAAGGAUAACUUGUUUGUUUGCAUAAUUAGUUUCAUUAGAAAGCAUACACUGAUUGUUGCCGAGAUAUUUUUUUUUCUCCGCGCCAAACUGUUUUGAAUUUGAGUCGGCCAAAAUCUAACUUAUGGUUCAGAGAGUUAGAGUGACUUGAAUUUGACUUUGAGUUGGCCAAAAUCUCACUCAUGUGUACAGGUUUCUAUUCAAUCAUCACCCUUGUAAAGAAUAAACCAAAUUCACUUGAUUGGACGUUCAUAAAACUUAGGUUCCAAUUUCUUAGGAUCAUGCUUUGAAAUUUAGAUAGAGGACUUGAAUAUGACUAGACCAAUACAUCCGAGAGUCAUGCGAAAGUAGAAAAUUUGUUGUAGCUUCAUUUGUAGUGCUUUGAGUAGUUCAUUGUUAGCGCUCGUUUUCCUCAUUUUUAACCAUUGAGUCUAAAGUCCCUACAACUUUGAAAGUCCCUCAUCCAAAACACAUACUAAGUAGUCUUAUAUAAUCAAAUAAGUAAACAAACAAUAGUCAUGGUAGAUAUUCAAAUUAGCAUAAUGAUAAAAGCAAGGUUGGGGUUGGGAUCGAUUCCUAUAACUAUAGAUGUGUGUUGGAGUAUCAACCUACGUAUUGUUUAUUGGGUUCGUGAUAGUAGUAAUACACAUAAUAUUAAACAUAGUAGUAACCUAAUCUAAAGUUGAGAGGUGUUAAAAUAUCACAACACAAAACACACUCAUUGAUGUGUUUGAGCUCAAAAGUUGUCACCCAACAAUGUUAAAUUAAAAAAAUACAUAAUCCCUAAAUAUCACCACUACAUAUCAGAAAAUUUUAUUUCUUAGAUUGGUUUGAGAGUAUAUUAUUAGUUGUUAUUUUCAUGCAAUCUCGUUAUAUGUUUUGUUCUAAUAUUAAUUAAUAUAACUGUUUUAGAAUGGAUAAAUCUUGGAUGUCUAUGGAUAGAAGAUGACAAAUGUAUUCCAAAGGGGUGGAAAACUUUUUGAAUUAUGAUAUGCUUCAUGCUACUAAUAUUUAACUAUAUACGUUGUCCGUGCCUAAAAUGUGGUAACAUUAAAUCAAGGACGGUUAAGGAGAUAAAAGAGGAUCUCUAUUUCAAUGGUAUAGCUCUAAGUUAUUGUACAUGGUAUUGGCAUGGAGAAGCUGUUCCAAAUUAUAAGAAUGAGAAAAGGAGUAACCGGGAAGAAAUAGUUGAAGAUAACACCAUCAUGAUGGUGGAAGCAGCUGAUGAUCAUUUUGUUUCAAAUCCUGAACAAUUUGAAAAGUUGUUAGAGGAUGCAGAGAAACCUGUAUACCCUUGGUCAGAUUGUACAAAAUAAAGCAAAGAAUGGGUGUAGUGAUAAACUAUUUGCAAAUUUACAAGAAUUUUUAGGAGUAUUGGUCCCACAGAAGAAUGAAAUAACCCCCCACUGUGUAUGAAGCAAAAAAAAAAAACAUUGUUUUCUCUUGGAAUUGAGUACGAAAAAAAUUCAUGCAUGCCCCAGUGAUUGCAUCCUAUAUAGGAAAGCAUUUAGAUGCAACCACAUGUCCUACAUGUGGUUUUUCUAGAUGGAAGGUUAAUAGAAGUUCUGGGGAGCCUAGUAGGGGUACAUGCAAAGGUAUGGUAUUUUCCCCUUAUUCCAAGAUUUCAAAGAAUGUUGCCACUCAGUACUAUGGUCUGGUGGUAUUUAUCUUCACUUGGAAGUGAGAGGUCUUAGGUUCGAAUCUCAUGAAUGACGAAUUCGAUAUCAAAUUAGGUUGUUUAUUAUGUGGCUUAGCCGAACUCCCCCUCCCCUUAGUGUAAAAAUGUCGAUAUACUAAAAAAAAAGAUUUCAAAGAAUGUUUAGCCAAGGUUCUAAAAAACGAUAGGUGCUAGUCGGGCAGCGGGCUAACGCCUAGCGCCUAGGCAAAUUUAGAU